rnacentral:tRNA from 1 species
GAGGGUAUGGCUCAGUGGUAGAGUGCAUGCUUAGUAUGUAGGAGGACCCAGGUUCAAUCCCUAGUACCUGCG